rfam:Gossypium raimondii chromosome 2, whole genome shotgun sequence.
AUCCCAUGAUGAGGACAAUUAUUUAGUAAUUCUUUGAAUCUCUCCCAUGCCUCAUACAAGGACUCGUCAUCCAAUUGCUGGAAAGUGCUGAUCUCAUUUCACAACUU